GACACGUUCAUUUUUACACAAGAUUUUUAAUAGUUUAACACUAUGUGAAGCACAAAAGUAUAUACAUAAAGUCAAAACAUGAUUAUUACCAGUUUAAUAAUAUUUUUUUUAUCUAUAUAAAAUAAAAAUAAUUGUAAAUGAUACAAAGUAAAGAAAUUACAUUAAAAAAUUUGAAUUUAGACGUCAAACUGAUAUUCACUGACAUCAAAUUAUUUUACCAUAAGAAAUGUCGAAAGGAAAAGGCAAUUGGAGUUUUCGUGAUGUAUCGCUAGGACUACAAAAACUCAGAGAAUUUUUAUUAGGACGGAAACACACAUUACACGGUCGAUUUCCAACAAUGAUUUCUCCAAGAACAAUUCCGACUCCAGAUAUCCCUCGUGGUCCUGAUGAACAUUACUCUAAUAAAUAUUAUUUUACUCGACACGCAAGAGAUUCAGUGCUGCCUCCCGUUAUAGCGCCGGUGGCCGAAGGGCCACCUAUGUGUCGCGAUCCGUUUAAAAAAGCGAAACCAGGUGGCGUACCACCGGACUCGGUUUGUUUCAACUGCGCACCUACUCCUGGACCUACUUGGUGGUGGGACGGACAUUUUUAUUAUGAAACUCAACCUGAUUGCUCUCCCCCUGAGGCGAAAGCUAAGGCCUCGCCACCUUGCUCAUCGCGAUGUGACCCAAAUCCUACGGAGAAGAAAUGCUAAUUGCUAACAGUCAUUAUUGUUCUCUAAUGGAACUAGCUAAUUUUAUGUUCGCUGUUUGAACCUUUCAGUUUCUAAUUGCGAUCUUUAUUUAAAGAGGUAAUACCUAUCUACCAAUUAAUUGACAAAAACAAGUAUUAAAAUUUAACUAUUUUUCGGAUUUUA